rnacentral:lncRNA from 1 species
CUCGGUCAAGGCAUUUGAUAAGUUCAAAUUUAUUUAUGUUGGUCAAGUUAAGUUUAAAUUUGCACAAUUUAAUUUAACAUAGAAGUUUUGUGGAUGCUAAUGUGAGUUCUUGAUACAAUUUAUUGAUCCACCUCUGAGAUUUGGUAAUAUUUUAACAUUAUGUGGGUUUGUUAUUCUUUUAAUUUAUUUAUUUAUUGUGGUUGGUAAUUUUCAUAUAAGACUCCGAAGGAAUCAAAGAGGUGUGAUAUUGUAGGUGAGAUUGGUUUAAGUAUUCCAAUCCUACAACAAACAAGUUACGAUUUCACUUGUUUUCUUCAUUUUAGAUCUCUUUAAAACUUGUAAGAAUUUAUUGCGUAUAUGCUCAAAUAAUGUUUUUUUGUCUCUUAACAAUCAUUUUGUUUUCAUUUGCCAGGCGGUGCUUCUGAAAAUGGCCAAGUAUUGUUUGAGUUCUUGGCAAAAUCUUUUACUUUUUGAUGUUGGUUGUGAGUAAAUUAUCUUGUAUUUUUCACUAGAUCGGAUUUGUUACUCUAGGAUUAGGACUUGGGUAAUUGCCUCUAGCCUUUAGGUUUUUUAAGGAUUUGUUACUUUGUGUUAUACAAAGAUUGUUAUUUUUGAUUUCUGGUUUUCGACGGUUGCCCUCACAGUUCGCUUGUCUUUGCUCACAUCGAAUUUAUUUGCUGGAACACUUUCAUCGGUUUAUUGCACCUUCGGUAAUUCACUACCCUACUUUGUUCAAAAUAGUAUUUUUGUGCUUUAUUUCCUUUUCAUAUUUUGUUAUAUCACUGACUAAAUUACUGAAUUCUCAAUCGUGACUUUGGUCACGUUUUUUAGAUAUCUUGUUGUGGCAAAAAGAAGAUGAGUGCUUUCAAAGAAGGUUACCGAUGAGCUUUCCUUGUUUUUUCUUUUUUUGGGGCUCAUUUGUAUUGGUUGCACACUUACCUUUAGUUUAUUGGUUCUAUGUCUUUGCUUUAGAGUAUGGUGCAUGGUAAUUUUAAUUCUUCUAUAAUGCAUGUUGUGAGCUGUGUUAUCACACCUACCAUGUAUUUCUCAAUUCUUUGUUGGUUAUAAUUGUUUUGGUGUGAAUUUAAUAUUAAAUCUCUAUUCAAAUGUCAUACACGGCCAUGUGACAACUUCAAAACGUUUACUUUUUAGUUUACCUCAUCCAUCUGUUAUGGCUAUGCCAAAUAUUUUCGGCCGUGAGUGUUCACCUGCUCUAACUACUCGGCCGAGAUGCAUGAGAUGUGUAUAAUUACAUUUGUUGUGUGUAUAGAUUUGCACAAUUCAAUUUAUCAUUAUGUGAGAUUGUUUAGUAAGUGGUGUUGCUAUUAAUAUUUUUAUUAACUGUGGUUUGUAAUUUUCAAAUAAGAAGUGAUAAAAAGAAAGAUGUGUUGUUGUUGUUGACACUGGUGGGUGUUCCAAUUUCAUAGGUGGGUUGCAUGAUCUAGGUUGCCGUUACAUGAAUGUGCUAGCACUUGUUGCGAAAUAUGGACUUCGAGGUAUUUUUCUCACAAUGACUUGUAAUCCAAAGUGAGUGGAAAUUCAAAGUUG